rnacentral:rRNA from 1 species
UACGUGGGUGGCAAGCGUUGUCCGGAUUUACUGGGCGUAAAGAGCGCGCAGGCGGUCGUUCAAGUCGCGUGUGAAAGCCCCCGGCUCAACUGGGGAGGGUCACGCGAUACUGAUCGACUCGAAGGCAGGAGAGGGUAGUGGAAUUCCCGGUGUAGUGGUGAAAUGCGUAGAUAUCGGGAGGAACACCAGUGGCGAAGGCGACUACCUGGCCUGUUCUUGACGCUGAGGCGCGAAAGCGUGGGGAGCGAACAGG